AUUAUUAUCGGGCAACUCCAAGCUGAUGCUACUAGAUUCCCUAUAGUGGAAUCAAAGCACUUGCUGACUAUGUGAUUUCUGAUUUGAUCAAAAUUCAUACUUUUUGAUAUUCCGUCAUCUUUUUUUCCCCCAUAGUAAUAUAUUUUUUAAAGAUUCAUUCUAAAGGUUUAAAAUUUGGAAUGUAUGAAGACUAUGGAACUCUUACUUGUUGACGAGGAUAUCCAGGGAUUCUCACUCAUUUAACUGAUUCCAAAACUUUUGCUGAAUGGGUGGGUGGUGAUUAUGUUAAUCUUGAUGGAUGCUAUGCAGAUCAUUCUGAAAUGGAUAAAUCAGGUAGCCCUGAAUUUGGAACUCUUUUGAAUCUGACUGGUAGACCCAUAGUGCGUACUUCUGUAGUUUGCCGGAUUAUCAGCUUCAACUAGUGGCUAUAAAGCAACCCCGAUAUUAGCCCUGUUUGUAACCUUUGGCGAAACUUUGACGACAUCGAUGAUUCGUGGGUUAGUGUGUCAAGCAUUGAUUAUUAUGGUGAUAAGCAAGAUAGGUUUGAUCCCGGUUGCUGGAAUAUGGUAAUAAUUAACGUUAGUUGUCUGACCUAGCCAGAGAGGGAGUUCCGGUAGGUCCGAAGCCAAGAUUGGUGACUUCUUACGACUUUACCGUUGUUGAGUUUGCUCCUCCCAAGAGCUUACAUUUGAACUUUCUUGUUGCAAAGGAUUCUAUGUACAAAGCUUAGUCCAUGAUUUAGGAAUUGUUUUAAACCGUUUUAAACAGCUGUGCUUACCUCGACACGCUGGAGAGAACUCGCCAAGGUCCGUUUGAAACUCAGCACUGUCUUACGGAAGAACAAUGCCCGGUUACCGGUAUCCGCAAAAAAAUUCUUGAGAUGCAACAGGUUACACGCAAGUAUCUAGAUACUCAAAUGGAAAACUAUCGUUCAAGGAAAUCCCUUCAAAGUCAAAAUCAAAAUGUUGUCAAACGAAAGUAUUUUGAAUCUAGUAUAGGACUAUAUUUAAUAAAAAGUAUGAUCAAUGGGAUUAUUCUAAAUAAAUUGCAUAGU